rnacentral:rRNA from 1 species
GAUGAACGCUCGCUACAGGCUUAACACAUGCAAGUCGAGGGGAAACGGCAUUAAGUGCUUGCACUUUUUGGACGUCGACCGGCGCACGGGUGAGUAACGCGUAUCCAACCUUCCCAUGGCUAAGGGAUAACCUGCCGAAAGGCAGACUAAUACCUUAUGGUCUUCACUGACGGCAUCAGAUGUGAAGUAAAGAUUUAUCGGUUAUGGAUGGGGAUGCGUCUGAUUAGCUUGUUGGCGGGGUAACGGCCCACCAAGGCAACGAUCAGUAGGGGUUCUGAGAGGAAGGUCCCCCACAUUGGAACUGAGACACGGUCCAAACUCCUACGGGAGGCAGCAGUGAGGAAUAGUGGUCAAUGGGCGAGAGCCUGAACCAGCCAAGUAGCGUGCAGGAUGACGGCCCUAUGGGUUGUAAACUGCUUUUGUAUGGGGAUAAAGUCAAUCACGUGUGAUUGUUUGCAGGUACCAUACGAAUAAGGACCGGCUAAUUCCGUG